rnacentral:rRNA from 1 species
AUUGACCGCUGGCGGCAGGCUUAACACAUGCAAGUCGAGCGAGCGGCGGACGGGUGAGUAAUGUCUGGGAAACUGCCUGCUGGAGGGGGAUAACUACUGGAAACGGUAGCUAAUACCGCAUAACAUCAGAUGUGCCCAGAUGGGAUUAGCGAGUAGGUGGGGUAAUGGCUACCCUAGGCGACGAUCCCUAGCUGGUAUGAGAGGAUGACCAGCCACACUGGAACGCAGACACGGUCCAGACUCCUACGGGAGGCAGCAGGGUGGAAGAUUGCACAAUGGGCGCAAGCCUGAUGCAGCCAUGCAGCUUGUGUGAAGAAGGCCUUCGGGUUGUAAAGCACUUGCAGCGAGGAGGCGUUACUCGCAGAAGAAGCACCGGCUAACUCCGUGCCAGCAGCCGCGGUAAUAC